CUUUAAUGCACAUUUCUUCUCUUGCCUGAAUUUUCCUCUGCUGCUCUCCUGGACUGGGAUGACAUGAGUCUCUGACGUUAAAGCCCGUUUUGUGUGGGAGCUCAUUUACACCAAUGCAGUUCCCAGCUGCACCGGAAGGGGUCGCGCUGCGGCCGCCCAGGUGGACGUGACGUCAUGCGGGCUUGAGGCGCUGUGUGCGCUCGGGUGUUUGCAGAUCCGCUCCUCAGAGGUGCUGCAGGAGAGAAGGAGGGGAUGUGAGCGCCGGGAUGAACUUCAGCUGUGGCCCCUAUGGAUUUAUUUUUGCUUGUGCAUGAGGAUGAUGAUGGUUGCACUGCGUAGUUAGAAGGUCUCCAGCACCAUCUGAUCUUGAGGACAGAGAGCAGAUGCCAGUCUCCUGAAAAAGGAUUAAAUCAAGAGUCCUUCACCU
rnacentral:lncRNA from 1 species